rnacentral:rRNA from 1 species
AGAGUUUGAUCCUGGCUCAGGAUGAACGCUAGCGGGAGGCCUAACACAUGCAAGCCGAGCGGUAGAGAUUCUUCGGAAUCUUGAGAGCGGCGUACGGGUGCGGAACACGUGUGCAACCUACCUUUAUCAGGGGGAUAGCCUUUCGAAAGGAAGAUUAAUACCCCAUAAUAUAUUGAAUGGCAUCAUUUAAUAUUGAAAACUCCGGUGGAUAGAGAUGGGCACGCGCAAGAUUAGAUAGUUGGUAGGGUAACGGCCUACCAAGUCAAUGAUCUUUAGGGGGCCUGAGAGGGUGAUCCCCCACACUGGUACUGAGACACGGACCAGACUCCUACGGGAGGCAGCAGUGAGGAAUAUUGGACAAUGGGUGAGAGCCUGAUCCAGCCAUCCCGCGUGAAGGACGACGGCCCUAUGGGUUGUAAACUUCUUUUGUAUAGGGAUAAACCUACUCUCGUGAGAGUAGCUGAAGGUACUAUACGAAUAAGCACCGGCUAACUCCGUGCCAGCAGCCGCGGUAAUAC